GGAUGUGGCUAAGUGGUAGAGAGCUUGCCUAGCAUGCACGAGGCACUGGGUUCUAUCCCAGCGCCA
rnacentral:tRNA from 1 species